GAGGAGUUCAAUAUGGACAUUCUCCACCUAGACCAUGUGAAGAGGGCGGUGGACAUGCAACUGUGCAAUAAAUUUAAGACCUAUUAUGCCAAAAUGCCCGAACAUUUUUUGGCGAUGGGAGAUCAAGCAGAAGCACACUCAUACGAUAAGAUAUCCCAAGCGGAUUGGGAGGUGGUGUGUCGCUAUUUCCACGACCCACACUAUCAGGUGAUGUGUCGCCAUUUCCGUGACCCACACUAUCAGGUGAUGUGUUUGUAUUAUAAUAACUACUUUUUCACAUUGAUGUGGCUAAUAAAAAGUCAUUACAUUUUUUUUGUAGACUAUAUGUGAAAAAAAUUCUACGAACUGGUGCAAACUCCCUACGACACAUUGCGGUGGGUCGAGGUUAUUCGUAAAUCAUUGAACGGUAAUUGCUAUAUGUAAAACUAUCUAACCAUUACCUGAAUUAAUAUUAAUGAAGUUUUAUAUGAUAAUGUUGCAUGAUCCCGAGACUAAAGCAGAGGAUCCGCUUCUAGAUCUUUAUCAUAGAAAACACCAAAGGCGAUCGGGGGAAGUGGUGCAAGGGUGCGCAGGGCAAACAUACGAAGAUGGUCGACUUGAGGGUUGCACCUAUUUUAGAUGGAAGUUGGAAAAUGACGGAUUACUAGAUAACCACUCAGGUGCUUGGGGAAUGAGUGGGGGUCUGGGUGAAAGGUCUUGGAAUUGGAUGCAUCACCCCAACAACAUCAUCUUCUAUGGGUGUGGAGUCUCGUGCUGAUAUGGAACAAGCGCAUUGAGACGCCAAGUCUUGGGUGGAGGAGAUGGUUCAGCGGAUGCAUACGAUGGAAAUGGAGAACUAGCAAUUGAAAGACAUGGUGUCUAAUGUUGAAGUGGAGAACCAGCAAUUGAAAUACAAGGUGUCCAACAUUGAAGCCACGUUCGCAGCAAUUUUGAACAAGCAAGAGCCAUUUGAACAAAUGAUGCGCCAAUCUCGACUAGAUGAUGCAGGUGGCUCCUCUCAUUAGAACGUAUGUAAGAUGUAGUUUGUACUGCAUGCUGGUAGUUCUGUUGCUUGUUUAAUCCUAUUCAUAUGCUGAAUUGAGAAUUAUUGGGA